AUACUUACCUGGACGGGGUCAAUGGGUGAUCAAGAAGGCCCAUGGCCUAGGGCAGUGACCUCCAUUGCACUCAGGAGGGGUGCUCUCCUAAGGUCUACCCAAGUGGUGGAGCCUACGUCAUAAUUUGUGGCAGUGGGGGCCAGCGUUCGCGCGGCCCCUCUCAAUUUUAGUUGAGUUUUUUAAGUCAUUAUACUCUAUAAUUUGUCCUUCAAUAAAUAAAUUAUUACUUCGUAGAAGUAUUAACAAAUUGUAUAAUCCAAUUUAUUUAAUACCUUAUAUUAUAAUAAUCUUUUUAUUAAUUAUUACCUUGUUUGAAAUCUUAUUCUUUAAUGGUAAGUUUUCUUUUUUCAAAAUAUUUGUGUAAUCCAUCCCUUUUCACUACGGUCUUGUUGAAAUAUGGAGCGUACCUUGCGAUAUUCUGUUUGUUGGUUAUCUAUACUAUAUGUUUCAUUACUAAUAAAUCUAUGGAGCGUCCUUUGCG